rnacentral:misc_RNA from 1 species
CUGAGUAUUUUACUCUCAAACCCAUGUGAACCUACCACUGUUGCCUCGGUGGUUGGCCGCAGAUCUCUCUCUCGGGGGCGAUCUGGGGUUAUAGCCACCGGUGGACUACUUAAACUCUUGUUUUUAGUGUCUCUCUGAGUAACUAUAAAAAUAAAUUA